CUCCGCGGCCGCCGCGCCGCCCUACCCAGGGGCGCGGUGCCAGGUGCGGCCGCCGCGAGGAAGAUGGAACCGUGAGCCCGCCCGAGCUGCAGGCGCCCGAGGUGGACCUCUCUUAACAUUUACUGAAACAAUAUCUGAGUGAUGUCAUACCUUUUGGGAAAGUCACACCCGUUUCAUGUAGACUCAGCUACAAUAGAGUCCACCCCUCACUCAGCACCCUGACUGCUACCUGUAAAAGGAUCAUGGCUUCCAGCAUGCUUGGACCAGAAGCAAAUCUGCCUGGCAAGGCCUACAAGGAACUGCCUGAUUGACUCUGCUUUCCUUUCCAACCACAUCCCACACUCUAUCCCUCUCAUAUGUGUCUUCUUUUGUUCUCCAGAAACCCUCAGCUCCUUUCCUGCCUUAGGUUCACUCAGUUUCUUUCUCUCCUGGCUGGCUUCUUCUCACUCAUCAGGUGGUAGCUUCUACUACCUUCUCCCCACAGUUGGGCACUCUUUUCCUCAUACCUUUUUAUCAGUCAUCCCAAUUUGCUUUGCCUAUCAGGCCUAGUACCAUAUAUCAGCUGCUUUUUCUUAGUUGGAUUGUUUAGACUGUGAGUUCUAUCAGGGAGGAAUUAUGUCUGUUUCAUUUAAUAGCAUAUUCCCAGGAAUUUGCGGGUUGAACAAAUGAAUAUAUCUUUAAGAAUUUUGUGCAGAUAUUAUCUGCUGGGACAAAGGACACAUACAGUUCAAAGUCUUAGUAGAUUGUCAUCCAAAAGGCUAUACCAAUUUGCAUUUCCAUGGAUAGUGUAAGAAAAUGCCAGUCAUAACGCUUGUCACAGAUAAAUCUUUUCUGCUUCUUUUAUGAGAAAAUAGUACCUUUAUGGAAAAAAAAAAUUAACUCUGUUAAGAGAUUUAAAUG